rnacentral:rRNA from 1 species
UACGGGGGGGGCAAGCGUUGUUCGGAAUUACUGGGCGUAAAGGGCUCGUAGGUGGCCAACUAAGUCAUACGUGAAAUCCCUCGGCUUAACCGGGGAACUGCGUCUGAUACUGGAUGGCUUGAGGUUGGGAGAGGGAUGCGGAAUUCCAGGUGUAGCGGUGAAAUGCGUAGAUAUCUGGAGGAACACCGGUGGCGAAGGCGCUCAUCUGGCCCAAUACUGACGCUGAGGCGCGAAAGCUAGGGGAGCAAACGGG